rnacentral:snRNA from 1 species
UAUAUGGUGUGCAUAAAAAAUCUCGCUAUCACUAUAAUAUAAAGAAGAUUAGCAUGGCCCCUGCGCAAGGAUGACACGCAAUUUCGUGAAGCGUUCCAAAAUUUU